rnacentral:sRNA from 1 species
UCCAAACAUCCCUGCAUCUCUGCCUCAGAGCUUUUGCUCAAAAUAUAUAGUGUGCUUCUAUUUCCCUUCAAGAUUCAGCUCCAGAGCUACUUCCAUAAAACUUCUCAAGAUAUAGCCCAUUAAAAUUCAUCUUUUUCUUCUCAUCUCUAUUAAUAAUUUGGACCUCGCUUAUAGCAGUUAGCACAUUUACCCUGUGGUAUAGUUAUUUGCCUGCAUAUGUGUAUUUUUGAUUAUAAGAUUCCAUCAUUUCAUGUAGUUGACACUCAAUAGAUGUUGACUGAAUUGAAUCUAAACUCUCUCAUUUUAUAGUUGGGGAAACUGGAAUCCAGAGAGGACACAAAGUGACAGAGCCAGGACUAAUUUCAGGGUCUUCUGUCUUUUGUUUCAACAAGUUUCCGUCUGCAGUAGCAUGCUGACAUGCAUCCUAUGGAUGCUCAGUGUACUGAUGUUGGGCAAUUCAGUAUUGUGGUGCAGAACAAACACCAGGUCCCAUCUACAAGUCUUUUAUCCAUAUAAAAAAGUACACGUGUUAUUUGAAAUCUUUGUACAUAUGAAGAUUAUAAUGUAUUUUUAUUCUGUUUUCAGCUUCAUGUUUCCUGUUGCAGGUGGGAUAAGACCCCCUCAAGCAGGCCUGAUGCCGAUGCAGCAACAAGGAUUUCCUAUGGUCUCUGUCAUGCAGCCUAAUAUGCAAGGCAUUAUGGGAAUGAAUUACAGCUCUCAGAUGUCCCAAGGACCUAUUGCUAUGCAGGCAGGAAUACCAAUGGGACCAAUGCCAGCAGCGGGAAUGCCUUACCUAGGACAAGCACCCUUCCUGGGCAUGCGUCCUCCAGGCCCACAAUACACUCCAGACAUGCAGAAGCAGUUUGCCGAAGAGCAGCAGAAACGAUUUGAACAGCAGCAAAAACUCUUAGAAGAAGAAAGAAAAAGACGCCAGUUUGAAGAGCAGAAGCAAAAGCUCAGACUUUUGAGCAGUGUGAAACCCAAGACAGGAGAGAAGAGUAGAGAUGAUGCUUUGGAAGCCAUAAAAGGAAAUUUAGAUGGGUUUUCCAGAGAUGCAAAAAUGCACCCUACUCCAGCAUCGCACCCCAAGAAACCAGAUUGCCCCACAUCAUCUCAUUCUACUAAAACUGUCUCCCCAUCACCUGCCUUUCUUGAUGAAGAAGAAUUCAGUGACUUUAUGCAGGGGCCUGUUGAAGUUCCCCCAUGUGGGCCUUCUUCCACGUCCCAGCCCUUUCAGUCUUUCCACCCCUCCACCCCACUUGGCCAGUUGCAUACACAGAAGGCUGGGACACAGCCUCUCCCUCCAAGUCAGAGUCCAGUGCCUUUUGCCUUACAUGGCGUCCCUGGGCAAAUUCCUUACUUCUCUACUGCUUCAGCCUCACACAGUGUACCAGAAGCAGGCCCUUCCUUGGAGGAGAAGUUCCUAGUAUCUUGUGAUAUAAGUACAUCUGGGCAGGAACAAAUUAAAUUAAAUACUUCUGAAGUUGGCCACAAAGCCCUAGGCCCAGGUUCCAGUAAGAAGUAUCCCAGUUUAAUGGCCAGUAACGGGGUUGCUGUAGAUGGAUGUGUAAGUGGUACCACCACUGCAGAGGCAGAAAAUACUUCAGAUCAAAACCUGUCAAUUGAAGAGAGUGGUGUGGGAGUAUUUCCCUCACAGGAUCCUGCUCAGCCCAGAAUGCCUCCUUGGAUUUACAAUGAGAGUUUGGUUCCAGAUGCCUAUAAGAAAAUCUUAGAAACCACAAUGACUCCAACUGGAAUAGAUACUGCCAAACUGUAUCCCAUUCUGAUGUCAUCUGGGCUUCCCAGGGAAACUCUUGGACAGAUAUGGGCCUUAGCUAAUCGAACUACACCUGGCAAACUUACAAAAGAAGAACUUUAUACCGUUCUAGCCAUGAUAGCGGUAACACAGAGGGGCGUUCCUGCAAUGAGUCCUGAUGCUUUAAACCAGUUCCCAGCAGCUCCUAUUCCAACUUUAAGUGGCUUUUCUAUGACUCUGCCUACGCCGGUGAGUCAGCCAACUGUGAUACCUUCAGGCCCUGCGGGCUCCAUGCCCCUCAGCCUUGGACAGCCAGUCAUGGGCAUUAACCUUGUUGGACCAGUGGGUGGAGCUGCAGCCCAGGCUUCUAGUGGUUUCAUACCAACCUACCCUGCAAAUCAGGUAGUAAAGCCAGAAGAAGACGACUUCCAGGAUUUUCAAGAUGCUUCUAAGUCAGGAUCCCUUGAUGACUCGUUCAGUGAUUUCCAAGAGUUGCCUGCUUCUUCAAAAACAAGUAACUCCCAGCAUGGAAACAGGUAGAAAAGAGUUUCAUAUGUUUAACAUUGCAUUUAACCAUUAAGAAAGAGGCAUCCAUAAUAGGAAGGCUAGGUGUGAGAAAUUUAAAAAUUAAGACUCCUUACUCUACUACUUUCUGUGUUUAUUCCCUCUGUAUUAAUACUUUUACUUUUCAAACUUCUCUCCCCUUUGUCCACCUUAAACUUCAGCUCCUACUGUUUCCUGUAAGUACACACCUGCCUGCCAAUAUUCUUUUUUACCUGUGCCAAACCUUUAUUAUAGCUAAGAGCACCUGUGCAGUGAUGACUUCGUGUUCCUGUAUUACAGCAAGGUCUUCAACUGUUAAAAAGUUUUUUAGGCAGGAGCACAUAAUUGCACAUUUUUGUAAUGUUAUAUAUUGUUGCUUUUCCACAGAAUCAUAAUUCAGAACUCUAAUCAUAUUCAUUCACAUUUCUUGUAUAUUUGACAUUAGUGUCUUUUAAGCCUUCAGAUUUCUGUUGUUUGCAUAGACAGCUGCAUAAAUAUUGCUCUAAGGUUUUACACGCCACCUUAACCUUCAGGUACAGUAACUGAUUCAGUAUGUUGUCAGCAUUUUUAAUUUUUUUUUGAGAUGGAGUCUUGCUCUGUCGCCCAGGCUGGAGGGCAGUGGUGUGAUCUCGGCUCACUGCAACCUCCACCUCCCAAGUUUUCCUGCCUCAGUCUCCUUAGUAGCUGGGAUUACAGGUGUCCACCACCAUGCCCAGCUAAUUUUUUGUAUUUUUAGUAGAGAUGGGGUUUCACCAUUUCACCAUGUUGGCCAGGCUGGUCUCAAACUCCUGACCUCAAGUGAGUCUCUCUACUUGACCUCCUAAAGUGCUAGGAUUACAGGCGUGAGCCACCAUGCCCAGACAGCAUAUUAAAAAAAGUAUUUAGAUAUUUCUGCAAAGUGGAACACAUCAGACACCAGAGUAAGCGAUAUGAAUUCCUUUGGUUUUAUUUUUCGAAUUUGUUAUUGUCAGAAUACAUAUUCCAUGUCUCCUCUGUUCCUGUUUAUGCAGUUUCGCUCAUCUCUUCCCCUUUAGCCAAUUGAUUAUCUCUUAGUCAGCACUUUGCUGCAUACACACUGUAACAAGAACUAAGGGAUAGGCAUUAUAGAGAAUUACAAAUUAGGAAAAGAGAUUAUUCUCCUGAUUUUAAAAAUAUAUUAAAUGCAUGUACAUAACAUAUAGAAGAAACAUAUAAGGAAUGUGACCAUAGAGUGCUGGUAUUUCCAGGACUGCUGCACCAACACAAGUUAAACCUUCUAGAUGCAUAAAUUGUAUUUCUACUCCAGAUCUCUUCCUUCGAACAAAAUUUAUAUGUACUACUGCUAUCUAAGCAUCCCUAUCUGAAUGACUCAAGGCAUCUCAAAUUCACUGCAUGAAAUUACCUUUAUUGUUUUCCUACUCAAAGCCAAAUAAAAAUGUGUUAAAUCGUUAUUCCCUUCCUUGGUGAAUGAUGUCACCAUAUUCAGUCACCAAAUUAAAAGCAUGCUAUUUACUUUGGCUCUGUCAUCUCUCCUUUACCACCAUUAACUCUGUCAGCUCUGUGUGACAGUGUGUGAUCUUAACUCCUGCCCACUCUCAACUCUUGAUAUUCCCCAUGACUUACACUCCAGCCUUGCCAGCAUGACUCCAAACUGACCAUGUUCUUCCAAGUUUUAUCCAUUCUGUUUGCUUCAGUCUGAAAUACCCUUACCUGAUCUCCCUAUAGUUAUAGUUCCAUUUCAGAAAUCAGCUAAAUAUAGGAAGUUUUUCCUAACCAAUUCCCACCUCCUUUGCUACUGCUGUAGUACCUGAUGAAUAUCUGUGCCCUAAUUGUAAUUGCUGGUUUACCUGACUGUUUCCCUUUCUAGGCUGUAAGCAUCUGAAGACAAUUAUUCAUGUUUAUAUAUGUAGUGCUUGGCCCCAUCAUAUGUAAUUAAUAAAGAUCUGUUGGAUGACU